rnacentral:rRNA from 1 species
UGGGGAAUAUUGGACAAUGGGCGAAAGCCUGAUCCAGCCAUGCCGCGUAUGUGAAGAAGGCCUUUUGGUUGUAAAGCACUUUAAGUGGGGAGGAAAAGCUUAUGGUUAAUACCCAUAAGCCCUGACGUUACCCACAGAAUAAGCACCGGCUAACUCUGUGCCAGCAGCCGCGGUAAUACAGAGGGUGCAAGCGUUAAUCGGAAUUACUGGGCGUAAAGCGCGCGUAGGUGGUUAUUUAAGUCAGAUGUGAAAGCCCCGGGCUUAACCUGGGAACUGCAUCUGAUACUGGAUAACUAGAGUAGGUGAGAGGGGAGUAGAAUUCCAGGUGUAGCGGUGAAAUGCGUAGAGAUCUGGAGGAAUACCGAUGGCGAAGGCAGCUCCCUGGCAUCAUACUGACACUGAGGUGCGAAAGCGUGGGUAGCAAACAGGAUUAGAUACCCUGGUAGUCCACGCCGUAAACGAUGUCUACCAGUCGUUGGGUCUUUUAAAGACUUAGUGACGCAGUUAACGCAAUAAGUAGACCGCCUGGGGAGUACGGCCGCAAGGU